rnacentral:tRNA from 1 species
CAAAGGACUGAAAAUCCUCGUGUCAC